rnacentral:rRNA from 1 species
AUGAAAAGAAUCAAAUUGACAUGGAGAAAGCAGGAAAGGAUCUUGACUGGCAAGAGCAAGGCAGCAUCCAUGGCAAACCCUCACGUGGUCCAGAAGCGUAAAGAAGUUUCAAUGAAGAAGAAUCUGCAGUUGACUCAAACCAAGGAGAAGAUGGUGAGUGCAGAUACUGAAGUAAAUAUGGUCAAGGAAGCUGUGCUUCAAACUGAUAUGCCAACUGUAGUGAGCAGAGAGCCAACCAAUGUCACAGAAGUUCAAGAGAUCAAAGGGAAGACUCCCCUUUCAACAGUUCCACCAAAACCACCUAAGGAGAAGAUUGUCAAGUUUGCCAGGGGCACAAAGGGGGAACAUGCCACAAAAGGUUUGGGGUUCAGAGACGAGAGAGAACUGCGAGCCGCAGCCAUUGAUGCAGGGGUGCCAAGUUCUGCUAGGUCGCUGCCAACUCAGACUGGAAAGAUGCCAACUACAGAUACCAGUGUGCCAACUGAUGUGUCAGUUAGCAGCAUGGUCACAGUCAAAACCACCACAGCUGGUCAGGAAGGCACCACUGCAACUGCAAGCCCCAAGGUGCCUACUCAUAGAGAUGCUUCAAUGUCAAACACAAAAGGAGGUGAUCCAACUAUCAAAGUGUUGUCCCCAAGAGCUGACUUUCAGCAACCAUUAACACAAGAGGAGGUGUUCAACAUUAUAAGUAGGUGCAAGCCUCCAAGGCCGCCAACUACAACACUAUUGCGAACCAAGUCAGUGAACGAUGCACCCGUGUUUGUGUCGCAAGGAGAUGCCCUAGUCCUUGAACCCUUACGAAGAUCAAAGUCUUAUCAUGGUGACGGGUUCUGUGAUGCACCAUCUUUUGACCUCGGCAUAGAUGGUGAUGCUCCAGCACCUGCUCUGGCAAUAGAAACAGCGGAAGCCGGUAUGAUUUGCAUUGAUGAGUGUGAGUUGGACCUAGCAGCUGUGAAUGAAGGAUGUGAUGCUGCUGAUGCUGGCAAGGCAAUAGCUCAAAAGCUAGAUGUUGGUUCGCCAGAGAAUUGCCACACCCCGAUAUGCGCAGAACCAGAAGCUGGCAUGAGCAGUUCUUCGGGACCACCUAUUGCAUGA